AUGCCGUGAAUUUCUGUACGUCCCUCACUGUGUUUAUUCGGGAUCAAUAGGUCCUUUCAACGUAUCGUAUGAAUGCCAAAAGAAGUGUGGUGUAUUUAUUGUGAAAUUUUAGAUUUUGAUGCUUACGGAACGAAAACCUUGGUGCGUAUUUAUCUUGAGAAAGCUGAGGAAUGAUUGUAGUGGAAGUAUCUAUAUACCAGAGGUCACCUGGAGGCUGGAGCUGUGCGAUGAUCCUCGCGUGAGCUUGGCAAGAAACUGGAUCUUUACGGAUCAUACUGCGUUGUUGAUGUUCUUACUUCACAAUUCGAAGGCCUGAUUCAGGGACCCUGGAUUAAUUAUCACUAAUUGCUUAAUCCUCGCUCUUCUGCUCUUAUAGCUGCAACAGGAAUUUUGAUUUGUGCAUCAUGUGAAAGUUUCGGAUUUUUGUGUGCGAACCUCUUUCGCGGAUUCCGCGUCGUUGGAAGCAGGAAUCUUUCUAUUUAUGGAUGCAUUUGAAGCACUGGGAGCGUGUUUAACCAUCAUGAAACCCAGCUCUCGCUGCUGAAGCAUUCGCGGUUUAUUGAAAGCUCAUUAACAGUUCGACCUAAAAGAAUCCCGAUUGUGGAUGAUGAUUGGAUAGUUCGUUGGAAGUGGAAUGGUAUCGAGAAAGAUGCCGAGCAAAAAUCCGAAACCGAAGUCGCGCAAGCGAAGUUCUUCUAAUUCAUCUGGAUCGGCUGAAUCGCAGCCGAAUCAUAUUUUUGACGAUGCACAACUGCGUACCGCCGGUGUAAAUCAAGAUGUUGCAAUGAUGUCCCGCCCAGGGGA